rnacentral:pre_miRNA from 1 species
CUCUGCGGCAGUCCGACCAUACCAUGAGGCCAGGACCACCGAGCCGGUGAUCCUGGCCUCGUUUUCUGUCCAGCCGGCCACCACA